rnacentral:rRNA from 1 species
GGCGAGGGGAGUGAAAAAGAACCUGAAACCGUGUACGUACAAGCAGUGGGAGCACAGGUUUACCUGUGUGACUGCGUACCUUUUGUAUAAUGGGUCAGCGACUUAUAUUCUGUAGCAAGGUUAACCGAAUAGGGGAGCCGGAGGGAAACCGAGUCUUAACUGGGCGUUAAGUUGCAGGGUAUAGACCCGAAACCCGGUGAUCUAGCCAUGGGCAGGUUGAAGGUUGGGUAACACUAACUGGAGGACCGAACCGACUAAUGUUGAAAAAUUAGCGGAUGACCUGUGGCUGGGGGUGAAAGGCCAAUCAAACCGGGAGAUAGCUGGUUCUCCCCGAAAGCUAUUUAGGUAGCGCCUCGUGAAUUCAUCUCCGGGGGUAGAGCACUGUUUCGGCUAGGGGGCCAUCCCGGCUUACCAACCCGAUGCAAACUGCGAAUACCGGAGAAUGUUAUCACGGGAGACACACGGCGGGUGCUAACGUCCGUCGUGAAGAGGGAAACAACCCAGACCGCCAGCUAAGGUCCCAAAGUCAUGGUUAAGUGGGAAACGAUGUGGGAAGGCCCAGACAGCCAGGAUGUUGGCUUAGAAGCAGCCAUCAUUUAAAGAAAGCGUAAUAGCUCACUGGUCGAGUCGGCCUGCGCGGAAGAUGUAACGGGGCUAAACCAUGCACCGAAGCUGCGGCAGCGACACUGUGUGUUGUUGGGUAGGGGAGCGUUCUGUAAGCCUGUGAAGGUGGCCUGUGAGGGUUGCUGGAGGUAUCAGAAGUGCGAAUGCUGACAUAAGUAACGAUAAAGCGGGUGAAAAGCCCGCUCGCCGGAAGACCAA